AGUGAACGCUGGCGGUAGGCCUAACACAUGCCAGUCGAACGGCAGCACAGUAAGAGCUUGCUCUUACGGGUGGCGAGUGGCGGACGGGUGAGGAAUACAUCGGAAUCUACUUUUUCGUGGGGGAUAACGUAGGGAAACUUACGCUAAUACCGCAUACGACCUACGGGUGAAAGCAGGGGAUCUUCGGACCUUGCGCGAUUGAAUGAGCCGAUGUCGGAUUAGCUAGUUGGCGGGGUAAAGGCCCACCAAGGCGACGAUCCGUAGCUGGUCUGAGAGGGUGAUCAGCCACACUGGAACUGAGACACGGUCCAGACUCCUACGGGAGGCAGCAGUGGGGAAUAUUGGACAAUGGGCGCAAGCCUGAUCCAGCCAUACCGCGUGGGUGAAGAAGGCCUUCGGGUUGUAAAGCCCUUUUGUUGGGAAAGAAAAGCAGCAGGUUAAUACCCCGCUGUUCCGACGGUACCCAAAGAAUAAGCACCGGCUAACUUCGUG
rnacentral:rRNA from 1 species